AUGGAUACGGUGCACAUCGACCUCCAGCUGGAGAUACUCCGCCGCCUGCCCCCGCGCAGCCUCGCCGUCUCCCGCUGCGUCUGCACGGCCUGGCGCGCCGCCAUCGACCACCACCGCCCCCUACACGCCGAUCUUCUCCCGCUCUCCGUUGACGCCGCUGUCUACGACGAACUCAUCUUCGAGCCACCGAGGCUCUUCGGGCGCCCCUCCACCACACGCCACAUCACCAGCGACCUUGACUACCUUGGGGACAAAUGGUUAGACGUUCCCGGCGUACAGGAUCACUGCAACGGCCUUUUCCUGGUCCGCAAGGCCAAGGUAGUCAAUCCGGCCACGCGGCAGUGGGCGCUGCUGCCCCUACUGCCGUGCGUGUGCUCAUGGCCGCCCAUGUGCGCCCGGCGCUGCCACAACAACCGCUACCUCGUCUAUGACCCCACCAUCUCACCACACUACCAGGUGCUCUACACCCCUCGUCUUCCACCACCUGAUGACAUGACCUGCGGGCGCGGCGGCGCCGAGUGGCCGCCUACGCCGUAUGUCAUGCAUGUCUUCUCGUCAACGACAAACAGUUGGAAGGAGACGUCGUUUGUUCGAGAAGGUGAGGCUGCUGCCGUUGCUGGAACCGUUGACGAUGCUAAUUCACGUCGCGACCGUGAUGAGCAUAUGUACUAUGCUGCUUAUUGGCAAGGGUCGCUCUACGUUCCUUCCCCACACGCAAAGGACGAUUUUCUUUUCAGAAUAAACUUGUCGAGUGACAACUACCAGCUAAUUAAGUUGCCAAAAGGAGGAGUAGGAUCACAUUUUCGUCUAGGCAAAUCAAAGAAAGGGGUCUAUUGUGUAGUGAACACCAAUGUGCGAUGCACGUUUCGAGUUUGGUUUCUUCACGAAUCGUCUGGUCUGACAGACUGGGUUUUCAAGAAUGAAAUCAACCUUCAGCCAGCAUUUAGUAAACAAGAUUGGCACCCUGGACCAUGGAUCCCACAGUCGCCUGAGCAGAUACUGUUGUUGUUGAAGAGUGAUGUCAACCCUAAGCUCGUAGAUGAAUACAACGAAGCACUAGCGAGAGAUGGUUUUGAUUGGGACUCUGACGAUGAAGAUCUUGUUAGCAUUACAGAUUGGCCUAAAAAGUGUGACACUUCCAUUGAUGGUCCUGACUGUAUUGGUUUCCAUCCCUAUAAAGAAAUUGUCUUGUUUAAUGAAAGAGGGGUGUGCUCUUGUUCAACGGUAGCCUAUCAUUUAAGCAACUCAAGGGUAAGAUACCUGGGUAAGAUGAGGCCCCAAUGUCACUAUUCAAUGGAAGAGAUUUCUUUUGCGUAUUUCGUUUCAAGAUAA
rnacentral:rRNA from 1 species